UACGGAGGGGGCAAGCGUUGUUCGGAAUUACUGGGCGUAAAGGGCUCGUAGGUGGCCAACUAAGUCAGACGUGAAAUCCCUCAGCUUAACUGGGGAACUGCGUCUGAUACUGGAUGGCUUGAGUUUGGGAGAGGGAUGCGGAAUUCCAGGUGUAGCGGUGAAAUGCGUAGAUAUCUGGAGGAACACCGGUGGCGAAGGCGGCAUCCUGGACCAAUACUGACACUGAGGAGCGAAAGCCAGGGGAGCAAACGGG
rnacentral:rRNA from 1 species